rnacentral:rRNA from 1 species
GCUUGGCCCUAAACCUCAGUAGUUAGAUAACAAAACUACUCGCCAGAAUACUACAAGCUAUAGCUUAAAACUCAAAGGACUAGACGGUGCUUUACACCCCCUAGAGGAGCCUGUUCCGUAAUCGAUAAAACCCGAUCCACCCCACCCUCUCUUGCUCAGCCUAUAUACCGCCAUCUUCAGCAAACCCUAAUGAGGGUCACAAAGUGAGCGCAAAUGCCAUUGCCGCAAACACGUUAGGUCAAGGUGUAGCCUAUGAGACGGUAAAAAAUGGGCUACAUUUUCUACCUCAGAAAAUUCCACGAAAACCCUUAUGAAAUUUAAGGGUCCAAGGAGGAUUUAGCAGUAAAUUAAGAAUAGAGUGCUUAAUUGAACCAGGCCAUAAAGCGCGC